rnacentral:rRNA from 1 species
GAUGAACGCUGGCGGCGUGCUUAAUACAUGCAAGUCGAGCGAACGGACGAGAAGCUUGCUUCUCUGAUGUUAGCGGCGGACGGGUGUGUAACACGUGUAUAACCUACCUAUAAGACUGGGAUAAUUUCGGAAAACCGGAGCUAAUACGGGAUAAUCUUUUGAACCGCAUGGUUCAAAAGUGAAAUACGGUCUUUCUGUCACUUAUAGAUGGAUCUGCGCUGCAUUAGCUAGUUGGUAAGGUAACGGCCUACCACGGCGACGAUGCAUAGACGACCUGAGAGGGUGGUCGCCGACACUAGAAGUGGAACGCGGUCAAGGCUCCUGCGAGAGGGCGCAGUAGGCAAUCGUACGCAGUAGGCGGGAGCAUGGCGCAGCGGGGCGGCGUGAGUGGUAGCAGCCUCGCGUUCGUGAUAAUCUGUUAUGGGGGAAGAACAUAUGUGUAAGUUACUGUGGAGUUCUUGACGGUAACUAAUAAGAAAGCAACGGCUAACUACGUG